UACGUAGGGUGCAAGCGUUGUCCGGAAUUAUUGGGCGUAAAGAGCUCGUAGGCGGUCUGUCACGUCGGCUGUGAAAACCCGAGGCUCAACCUCGGGCCUGCAGUCGAUACGGGCAGACUAGAGUUCGGUAGGGGAGACUGGAAUUCCUGGUGUAGCGGUGAAAUGCGCAGAUAUCAGGAGGAACACCGGUGGCGAAGGCGGUCUCUGGGACUGAACCUGACGCUGAGGAGCGAAA
rnacentral:rRNA from 1 species